rnacentral:sRNA from 1 species
GAACUCGAUUCCGAUUACCGCAGGUCUCUCGGACUAGUUGAGAGGACGGGAACUGGGCCAUGGGAUGUGUUGAAUCUGUGGAUAGCUUCUACUAUCUCUGGACUAUCCCGGUUUCUUGGGGUAAGUAGUCCUCAUCUUCCAGUUUACGCGUUCGGGGCGAUGUUUUUCUCCCCUUAGACUGCGGUCCGGAUCGCCCACCACGAUUACUACCUCUGCCCCGACGCGGGCGGCUCGAACAAUCAGCCCGCGGUCUGGGGGGCGACGGAGAUGGUGACCUAGAUGAUGAAGGUGAAGACGGGACGAUUAGAGAAGAUGAUGACGGUGAGGAUGAUGAAGAGGAGGAAGAUGAAGAGGAUGGCGAUCUGGAAACAUGUCCGACGUUCCGGGCCGCGUGGUCUGGGGGAACUUCGUGGAGAUGAGGUUGUGUGAGGCAGUUCGCUCAUUCUGCCAGAAGAUGGAGUAGUCAGCCGUGGACCUGAGGUGAGUGGUGCAGGCAUUUAAAGUCUUUCCAUGCCAAACCGGUCCAGGGAUUGGUGCUUCCAUCUCGGCCGUCCACCCAGGUAAUCUCGCCCAAAGCACAACCGCGGGUCCACCGGGACUCUCCGACAUAGCUCGAGCCAAAAGGGAAUUGUAGCCCAGGCAAGAAGGGCGGUGCAUAUCUGCAAGUAAACAAAACUCGGGGUUCUGUACGAUUGGCCGGGGUCUUACAUGCUCGCCGAAUUGGAUUUGAGAAUCAAUCUUCCGACGGGUCUCCUGACUUGAACAGGGGAAAGGGGGAGGGGGAGUGUGUUAUCUUGUCGCGAACCAAUAA